rnacentral:rRNA from 1 species
CCUACGGGAGGCAGCAGUGGGGGAUAUUGCACAAUGGGGGAAACCCUGAUGCAGCGACGCCGCGUGUAGGAAGAAGGUCCUCUGCAUUGUAAACUACUUUCCCCAGGGACGAAGAUGACGGUACCUGGGGUGGAAGCUCCUGCUAACUACGUGCCAGCAGCCGCGGUAAUACGUAGGGAGCGAGCGUUUUCCGGAAUUACUGGGGGUAAAGGGAGCGUAGGCGGGGAUGCAAGUUGGGGGUUAAAUCUACCGGCUCAACUGGUAGUCGCAGUCGAAACUGCAGCUCUUGAGUGAAGUAGAGGCAGGCGGAAUGCGUAGUGUAGCGGUGAAAUGCGUAGAUAUUAGGAGGAACACCAGUGGCGAAGGCGGCAUGCUGGGCUUUUACUGACGCUGAGGCUCGAAAGUGUGGGGAGCAAACAGGAUUAGAUACCCGUGUAGUC